rnacentral:rRNA from 1 species
CCUGAACGCUGGCGGCGUGGCUAAGACAUGCAAGUCGCACGGACGUAGCAAUACGUUAGUGGCGAACGGGUGAGUAAUGAAUCGCUAAUGUGCCCCGGACUCUGGGAUAGCCAGUCGAAAGAUUGGGUAAUACCAGAUGAUAUAACCGCUCCGCAUGGAGUGGUUCUCAAAGGUCCGCCGGUCUGGGAGCAGGCGAUUUCGUAUCAGCUAGUUGGUGAGGUAACGGCUCACCAAGGCGACGACGCGUAGCCGGACUGAGAGGUUGGCCGGCCACAUU